GCUUGGGUAGCUCAGUUGGUAGAGCAUCUCCCUGAAGAGGAGGGGGUCGCCGGUUCGAGCCCGGCCCCAAGCA
rnacentral:tRNA from 2 species